rnacentral:ncRNA from 1 species
AAAAAAUUUAAUUUUUUUUUUUUAAUUAAUUAAAUUUUAUUAAUAAUAUAUAAUUUAAAUUUAAAUAGUAAGUUUUAAUAUAAUAUUUAGAUUUUAUUAAAUUUAAUGAAAGUUAGAAUAAGGUAAAAAUAUAAACAUAGGAAAAUUUAGUGCCAGCAUCAGCGGUUAAACUAAUUAUGUAAAUUAAUUAAUUAUUUUAUUUAAUAAUAAAAAUUUUAGAUUUGAGUUUUUAUAAAUAUUAAUAAGAAUGGUGAAAUAUUAUUAAUAUAAAUAAAAAUUUUUUAAUUUUUUUAUAUUAAAAAAUUUAUUUUAAAGACUAGGAUUAGAUACCCUAUUAUGGUAAAUUUCAAUAAAAAUAGAAGAGAUUAAAUGUUAUAUCAUUAAAUUUAAAAGAUUUGGCGGUACUUAAUAUUUAGAGGAACCUGUAUAGUAAUUGAUAGUCCACGAUAAGAACUACUUAAUAUAAAUUUAUGUAUUGCUGUUUAAAAUGUUUAAUUAAUUUAGAUUAUAUAAUUUAUUAUUAUUAAAUAAUUCAAGUCAAAAUAUAGUUUUGUUAAGAUUAAUAUGGGUUACAAUUAAUUUGAUUAAAAUAGUUGAAUUAAAAAAUUUAAAAUUUUUUUAUGAAAGUGGAUUUAAAAGUAAAAUUAAUUAAUUUAUUAAUUUGAAAUAUAAAAUUAAGUAUGUACAAAUUGCCCGUCACUUUCAAUAAAAUGGAAUAAGUCGUAACAAAGUUUAGGUAUCGGAAGAUGUUUAUUGUAAAUU